rnacentral:rRNA from 1 species
UACGGAGGGGGCGAGCGUUAUUCGGAAUUAUUGGGCGUAAAGGGCGCGUAGGCGGCUUUGUAAGUCAAAGGUGAAAUCCCUCGGCUCAACUGAGGAACUGCCUUUGAAACUGCAAGGCUUGAGGCCGGGAGGGGGUAGGCGGAAUUCCCAAUGUAGCGGUCGAAAUGCGUAGAGAUGUGGAGGAACACCAGUGGCGAAGGCGGCUUUUUGGUCUGUAACUGAC